rnacentral:rRNA from 1 species
CAGCCGCCGCGAUAAUACCGGCGGCCCGAGUGGCGGCUACUAUUAUUGGGCCUAAAGCGUCCGUAGCCGGGCUGGUAAGUCCUCCGGGAAAUCUGGCCGCUUAACGGUCAGAAUGCCGGAGGAUACUCCCAGCCUAGGGAGCGGGAGAGGCCGAGGGGAUUCCCGGGGUAGGGGGGGAAUCCUAUAAUCCCGGGAGGACCACCUGUGGCGAAGGCGCUCGGCUGGAACGCGUCCGACGGUGAGGGACGAAGGCCAGGGGAGCAAACCGGAUUAGAUACCCGGGUAGUCCUGGCUGUAAACGAUGCGGACUUUGUGUCGGACAAGCUAUGAGCUUGUCCGGUGCCGGAGGGAAACCGUUAAGUCCGCCGCCUGGGGAGUACGGCCGCAAGGCUGAAACUUAAAGGAAUUGGCGGG